CUUGCUAGUCAGAGGUGUGGCAGGAGUUUCUGAAUGCAUCUCAGUUCAUGGGCGUUCCCCAGCUGACUAUGCAGAGAAAGUGAAAUAGCAGUUGUAAUGCCAUUGAUCUGUGCUGUCUUCUCAUCACCUGGAGUCUUUCUGCGUGGGGUUCUGCUGAGGAGAGAUCUGCUGCUUGUUCCUCCCUUCAGUUUUCAAAACCAAUGCCUGUGGCCAGAAAUGACUUGCCAUGGACUUGUUGUGACCCGACAGCAGAAAAAGUGUGCAAUUCACCAAAGUGAUGGAGAUUGAACUGUGCCAUUGUCUGGUGUGUCCCUUGUGCCACCUCCCAGAUGCCUAUUGUCUCCUCUGCCUGCCUUCCCAGCAGUAAUGAAAACACAGGGACAUGGUCCCACUUUGGAGCUAUUAGCUGUUGUAUCACUUGGUUUCUUACACCUAUGGAGAAUUUCCACCAGCUGCAAAAGGUGAAGCAGAAUUUGCAUUUCAAUAUUGUAUUCUGCAUAUUGAAAGCGUUUUUCAUCUUGCUUUUUGAAGACAGUGGUGCCCGUUUUGUCUGCAGAAUGGUACUCACAGUAAGCAUCUCCUUGCAUCUGGCUCUGCUUCACUUAAUUCUGCAGUCCCUCCAUGACCGUCGUGCUUGGCUCAUCUUCUUCAGCAGAACUGUGUGA
rnacentral:lncRNA from 1 species